GAUGAAGAACGUAGCAAAAUGCGAUAAGUAAUGUGAAUUGCAGAAUUCAGUGAAUCAUCGAAUCUUUGAACGCACAUUGCGCCCGCCAGUAUUCUGGCGGACAUGCCUGUUCGAGCGUCAUUUCAACCCUCAAGCCCCCGGGUUUGGUGUUGGGGAUCGGGCUGUACUCCAGCCCGGCCCCGAAAUCUAGUGGCGGUCUCGCUGCAGCCUCCAUUGCGUAGUAGCUAACACCUCGCAACUGGAACGCGGCGCGGCCAAGCCGUUAAACCCCCAACUUCUGAAUGUUGACCUCGGAUCAGGUAGGAAUACCCGCUGAACUUAAGCAUAUCAAUAAGCGGAGGA
rnacentral:misc_RNA from 1 species